CUUGACCGACCCGAGCCACAGCGGUUUCUCGUCGUGGCGUUCCUGUCCGUACGUGGCGAGCAGGGCGUCCGCCUC
rnacentral:antisense_RNA from 1 species